GCCCAUGUGGCGGAAUUGGUAGACGCAGCAGACUCAAAAUCUGCCGUUCGCAAGGGCGUGAAGGUUCGAUUCCUUUCGUGGGCACCA
rnacentral:tRNA from 2 species